UACAGAGGGUGCUAGCGUUAAUCGGAUUUACUGGGCGUAAAGCGUGCGUAGGCGGUUUGAUAAGUCGAUUGUGAAAGCCCCGGGCUCAACCUGGGAAUUGCGGUCGAUACUGUCAGACUCGAAAACGGUAGAGGGAGGCGGAACUCCAGGUGUAGCGGUGAAAUGCGUAGAUAUCUGGAAGAACACCGAUGGCGAAGGCAACCUCCUGGGCCUGUUUUGACGCUGAGGCACGAAAGCGUGGGUAGCAAACAGG
rnacentral:rRNA from 2 species